rnacentral:piRNA from 1 species
UGCCAUGACAAAUGCAGGACAUUCGAGA